GCUUAAAUAGUUUAAAAAAAAUUUAGAAUUGUGGUUUUUAGGAUACAAUGGUUAAUUGUUUUAAGCA
rnacentral:tRNA from 1 species